ACACGGAGCUUGCUCUGUGGGAUCAGUGGCGAACGGGUGAGUAACACGUGAGCAACCUGCCCCUGACUCUGGGAUAAGCGCUGGAAACGGCGUCUAAUACUGGAUGUGUGACGUGACCGCAUGGUCUGCGUUUGGAAAGAUUUUUCGGUUGGGGAUGGGCUCGCGGCCUAUCAGCUUGUUGGUGAGGUAAUGGCUCACCAAGGCGUCGACGGGUAGCCGGCCUGAGAGGGUGACCGGCCACACUGGGACUGAGACACGGCCCAGACUCCUACGGGAGGCAGCAGUGGGGAAUAUUGCACAAUGGGCGGAAGCCUGAUGCAGCAAUGCCGCGUGAGUGAUGAAGGCCUUAGGGUUGUAAAGCUCUUUUACCAGGGAUGAUAAUGACAGUACCUGGAGAAUAAGCUCCGGCUAACUCCGUGCCAGCAGCCGCGUAAU
rnacentral:rRNA from 1 species